CCUACGGGUGGCAGCAGUGGGGAAUAUUGGACAAUGGGGGGAACCCUGAUCCAGCCAUGCCGCGUGUGUGAAGAAGGCCCUCGGGUUGUAAAGCACUUUCAGUGAGGAAGAACGCCUGGUGGUUAAUACCCAUCAGGAAAGACAUCACUCACAGAAGAAGCACCGGCUAACUCCGUGCCAGCAGCCGCGGUAAUACGGAGGGUGCGAGCGUUAAUCGGAAUUACUGGGCGUAAAGCGCGCGUAGGUGGCUUGAUAAGCCGGUUGUGAAAGCCCCGGGCUCAACCUGGGAACGGCAUCCGGAACUGUCAAGCUAGAGUGCAGGAGAGGAAGGUGGAAUUCCCGGUGUAGCGGUGAAAUGCGUAGAGAUCGGGAGGAAUACCAGUGGCGAAGGCGGCCUUCUGGACUGACACUGACGCUGAGGUGCGAAAGCGUGGGUAGCAAACAGGAUUAGAUACCCCAGUAGUC
rnacentral:rRNA from 1 species